UAUGAAAAAACAAACAAACCACAUGGUGUAUAUUUCAAGAUGGCUGAUCAUUCUGUCUGACAUUCUUAGUGGCAUUGACUAAUAUAUCCCAGAGGAACACCAGGCAGGUUUCAAGAGGCCUCUAGCAUACUCACUCCAGAAAAAGCAGAGCGACUCUGUUUCCACCGCAGCAUGGCAAUGAGGACAGCCAGACCAAGCUCCAACACGCUGCUGAUCAACAUCAGUGAAAAGACACCCUAAAUUCAGGAGAAGAGAGGUUCUGCCUCUCUAAUGGUUCCAAAGGAACAGAUUCAUACAGCCAUGCAUGAGGACUUCUUAAAAUGUGAGCCCAAAUAAACUUUUCCUCUUUGUAAA